ACAAACUUGGUCAUUUAGAGGAAGUACAAGUCGUAACAAGGUUUCCGUAGGUAAGUAAAUAUCGUAAUCCCCCUUUAACUGUUGAAUUUCCAAUAACUAACCCUUUUUUAGGUGAACCUGCGGAAGGAUCAUUAAAGAGUUAGGGUCUCUGUGGCCUGACCUCCCAACCCUAUGUGUAUUGAACCUGUGUUGCUUCGGCGGACCCGUCGUGAAAACGACCGCCGGAGGACUGUCGAGAGGCGUCCUCUGGCCCGCGUCCGUCGGUGGCCUACAUCUUUAAAAUUCUGAAUGAACCAUGUUUUACGCCUAAGUUCUUUUAAUAAAUUAAAGCAAAAACUUUCAACAACGGAUCUCUUGGUUCUGGCAUCAAUGAAGAACGCAGC
rnacentral:misc_RNA from 1 species